GAUGACAAAGGAAUAAACGAUUAUCUUACGAACUUCAUGAGCUAACAGCUGUUUCUGCUAUAAGAUGCAGUGGGCUCACAGUUUAGUGCUUGAGUAACACGUUAUAGCUUCGUCGGAGCCUCAAAUAUGAAUGUGUAUGUGUGUGUGUGUGUGUGUGUGUGUGUGUUUUUAAUAAAA